UUUUGUAUAAUGGGUCAUCGACUUAGUGUAUCUAGCAAGCUUAAGCCGUUAGGUGUAGGCGCAGCGAAAGCGAGUCUUAAUAGGGCGACUGAGUUAGAUGCAUUAGACCCGAAACCGAGUGAUCUAGGCAUGACCAGGAUGAAGGUAAGGUAACACUUACUGGAGGUCCGAACCCACACCUGUUGAAAAAGGUCGGGAUGAGUUGUGCCUAGGGGUGAAAGGCCAAUCAAACUCGGAGAUAGCUGGUUCUCUGCGAAAUCUAUUUAGGUAGAGCGUCAUCCGAAUACCCCGGGGGGUAGAGCACUGGAUGGGUAAUGGGGCCCCACAGGCUUACUGAUCCUAACCAAACUCCGAAUACCCGGGAGUACUAGAUGGCAGACACACUGCGGAUGCUAACGUCCGUAGUGGAGAGGGAAACAACCCUGACCUACAGCUAAGGCCCCCAAUUCAUGGCUAAGUGGGAAAGCAGGUGGGACGACCAAAACAACCAGGAGGUUGGCUUAGAAGCAGCCAUCCUUUAAAGAAAGCGUAACAGCUCACUGGUCUAAACAAGGGUUUCUGCGGCGAAGAUGUAACGGGGCUCAAGCCAUGAGCCGAAGCUUAGGAUGCCGUAAGGCAUGGUAGCAGAGCGUAGUG
rnacentral:rRNA from 1 species